AUUGAACGCUGGCGGAAUGCUUUACACAUGCAAGUCGAACGGCAGCAUAGGUGCUUGCACCUGAUGGCGAGUGGCGAACGGGUGAGUAAUACAUCGGAACGUGCCCAGUCGUGGGGGAUAACGUAGCGAAAGUUACGCUAAUACCGCAUACGAUCUACGGAUGAAAGCGGGGGACCGUAAGGCCUCGCGCGAUUGGAGCGGCCGAUGUUAGAUUAGGUAGUUGGUGGGGUAAAGGCUCACCAAGCCGACGAUCUAUAGCUGGUCUGAGAGGAUGAUCAGCCACACUGGGACUGAGACACGGCCCAGACUCCUACGGGAGGCAGCAGUGGGGAAUAUUGCACAAUGGGCGCAAGCCUGAUGCAGCAACGCCGCGUGAGGGAUGACGGCCUUCGGGUUGUAAACCUCUUUUAGUUGGGAAGAAGCGAAAGUGACGGUACCAACAGAAAAAGCACCGGCUAACUACGUACG
rnacentral:rRNA from 1 species